AGUGCUCUGUGCAUUGCAAGAAAAACCUGAGAAGCCCUAAUAGCUCAGUGCUGAUUGACUCAAGGGCUCCUCAAAAGCAGAAAGAAAAGGCAAGGGCGGGGUUACUGAUGCCGAAGGAGAAGAGGUCUGGGAAGUCUGGGUACUUGGCCUUAACCCACCCCAUUCUCGUACCGAGGACUUGACUCUGCCACAGGAAAGAACUCAAGAGCAGAAUCAUAGUAGAAGUUUACCAUCAAAAAAGCGUCAUACCUCAGUCCAUGCAGAUGACUUGGCUUUAUCUUCUGCAGAGAAGAAGUAAUCAGAACAGAAGCACCCAUUGGAUGAAAUCUGAUGUCCUGAUCACUGUUUUUGGUCUGACUAAUGCAUAGUUUUAUACAAU